rnacentral:rRNA from 1 species
GACAACAUUCGGAAACGGAUGCUAAUACCCCAUAGGUGGAUUGGUCGCAUGACGAAUUCAUUAAAGGUGGCUUUGCUACCACUCAUGGAUAGCCUCGCGGCGUAUUAGCUAGUUGGUAAGGUAAUGGCUUACCAAGGCAACGAUGCGUAGCCGACCUGAGAGGGUGAUCGGCCACACUGGAACUGAGACACGGUCCAG